AGAGUUUGAUCAUGGCUCAGAUUGAACGCUGGCGGCAUGCUUUACACAUGCAAGUCGAACGGCAGCACAGGGAGCUUGCUCCCGGGUGGCGAGUGGCGCACGGGUGAGUAAUACAUCGGAACGUGUCCUGUUGUGGGGGAUAACUGCUCGAAAGGGUGGCUAAUACCGCAUGUGACCUGAGGGUGAAAGCGGGGGAUCGCAAGACCUCGCGCAAUUGGAGCGGCCGAUGCCCGAUUAGCUAGUUGGUGAGGUAAAGGCUCACCAAGGCGACGAUCGGUAGCUGGUCUGAGAGGACGACCAGCCANACUGGGACUGAGACACGGCCCAGACUCCUACGGAAGGCAGCA
rnacentral:rRNA from 1 species